rnacentral:rRNA from 1 species
GAGGAUGCGGGUGCUUACACAUGCAAGUCGAACGGUAAGGCCCUUUCGGGGGUACACGAGUGGCGAACGGGUGAGUAACACGUGGGUAAUCUGCCCUGCACUUCGGGAUAAGCCUGGGAAACCGGGUCUAAUACCGGAUAUGAGCUCCUGCCGCAUGGUGGGGGUUGGAAAGUUUUUCGGUGCAGGAUGAGUCCGCGGCCUAUCAGCUUGUUGGUGGGGUAAUGGCCUACCAAGGCGACGACGGGUAGCCGGCCUGAGAGGGUGAUCGGCCACACUGGGACUGAGACACGGCCCAGACUCCUACGGGAGGCAGCAGUGGGGAAUAUUGCACAAUGGGCGAAAGCCUGAUGCAGCGACGCCGCGUGGGGGAUGACGGUCUUCGGAUUGUAAACUCCUUUCAGUAGGGACGAAGCGAAAGUGACGGUACCUGCAGAAGAAGCACCGGCCAACUACGUGCCAGCAGCCGCGGUAAUACGUAGGGUGCAAGCGUUGUCCGGAAUUACUGGGCGUAAAGAGCUCGUAGGCGGUUUGUCACGUCGUCUGUGAAAUCCUCCAGCUCAACUGGGGGCGUGCAGGCGAUACGGGCAGACUUGAGUACUACAGGGGAGACUGGAAUUCCUGGUGUAGCGGUGAAAUGCGCAGAUAUCAGGAGGAACACCGGUGGCGAAGGCGGGUCUCUGGGUAGUAACUGACGCUGAGGAGCGAAAGCAUGGGGAGCAAACAGGAUUAGAUACCCUGGUAGUCCAUGCCGUAAACGGUGGGCGCUAGGUGUGGGGUCCUUCCACGGAUUCCGUGCCGUAGCUAACGCAUUAAGCGCCCCGCCUGGGGAGUACGGCCGCAAGGCUAAAACUCAAAGGAAUUGACGGGGGCCCGCACAAGCGGCGGAGCAUGUGGAUUAAUUCGAUGCAACGCGAAGAACCUUACCUAGGCUUGACAUAUACAGGACGACGGCAGAGAUGUCGUUUCCCUUGUGGCUUGUAUACAGGUGGUGCAUGAUUGUCGUCAGCUCGUGUCGUGAGAUGUUGGGGUUUAAGUCCCGCAACGAGCGCAACCCCCUGUCUCAUGAUGGCAGCCACGAUUAUGGUGGGGACUUCGUUGAGAAGACUGGCCGGGGUCAACUCGAGUACGUGGGAAUGGAACGAUCAAAUCAUCCAUGGUCCU